rnacentral:rRNA from 1 species
CUCCCAACCCCUGGUGACAUACCUAUACGUUGCCUCGGCGGAUCAGCCCGCGCCCUGUAAAAAGGGACGGCCCGCCCGAGGACCCUAAACUCUGUUUUUAGUGGAACUUCUGAGUAAAACAAACAAAUAAAUCAAAACUUUCAACAACGGAUCUCUUGGUUCUGGCAUCGAUGAAGAACGCAGCAAAAUGCGAUAAGUAAUGUGAAUUGCAGAAUUCAGUGAAUCAUCGAAUCUUUGAACGCACAUUGCGCCCGCCAGUAUUCUGGCGGGCAUGCCUGUUCGAGCGUCAUUUCAACCCUCAAGCUCAGCUUGGUGUUGGGACUCGCGGUAACCCGCGUUCCCCAAAUCGAUUGGCGGUCACGUCGAGCUUCCAUAGCGUAGUAAUCAUACACCUCGUUACUGGUAAUCGUCGCGGCCACGCCGUAAAACCCCAACUUCUGAAUGUUGACCUCGGAUCAGGUAGGAAUACCCGCUGAACUUAAGCAUAUCAAUAAGCCGGAGGA